rnacentral:rRNA from 1 species
UACGUAGGGGCUAGCGUUGUCCGGAAUUACUGGGCGUAAAGAGCUCGUAGGUGGUUUGUCGCGUUGUUCGUGAAAACUCACAACUCAAUUGUGGGCGUGCGGGCGAUACGGGCAGACUGGAGUACUGCAGGGGAGACUGGAAUUCCUGGUGUAGCGGUGGAAUGCGCAGAUAUCAGGAGGAACACCGGUGGCGAAGGCGGGUCUCUGGGCAGUAACUGACGCUGAGGAGCGAAAGCGUGGGGAGCGAACAGG